AAGGGGAAAUAAAGGCAGUUGUUCAGCAGUUCAGAGGAUAUUAACAAAAGCUGCACGACAGUCUUAUCUAAAGUAAGAAUUUAACCAUAAAACCUCAAGUUCCAAUAAAGAGAACUUGUUUGGGACAAUUAUAUAUCAAAUAUUGUGCAUUUUGCACUUAAGUACUUGUGUGCAUGUAUAGGGGACUACUUACUUCAGUAUCAGAGGCUCCAGGAAACGCAACCUGAAAAACCUGAGUCAGGCAGGAACCCCAGCUUGUUGCUGUAACAGACAUCUCUUCUUCCACCCAUCCAUCCAUCUAUACAUCCAUAGACCUUCAUGUUUCUGGGAACUACCAUUUCCCAAGACCUGAAAUGGGAGUCCAACUUAAACUCUAUUCUAAAAAGGGAAGAGGAUGUACUUUCUAUGCCAAUUAAGGAAGUAUGCCACAUAAGCUGUUGAUACAGUUCUACACUGCAGUCAUUGAAUCUGUCCUGUGCACAUCCAUCACCAUUUGGUUUGGAGCAGCAUCAAAGCAGGACAGGAACAGACUGCAGCAAACAGUUAAAACAGCAAAAAACAUGGGUGCUCAUUUACAACUUUCUAAUGAUAUUCACUGCUUUAUAUCUAUUAAUUCUGCUUUAUGAGAACCGUUAGUCAUCAUUUCAUUCCCAUAUGUUACACACACUGUUGCUGCUGUAUAUUGUAAAAUAGUUCUAAAGUAUCCUCUUUAUCUUACGUGACACAUAAUACUGCUAUUUGCACUACCAUGC